rnacentral:misc_RNA from 1 species
UAUUAUAUUAUAUUAUAUUAUAUUAUGUUAUAAUUAUAUAUUAUUAUAUUACAUUAUAUUAUUAUUUAUUUUAAUUAAUUAAUUUUUUUUAUUUUGUUAUGGUACGCUGCUAUGGGUAGCAAUCCAUUGUCUUGUUUACGCGCUAUUUGAAAUAGUAUUCCAUCUACGAACUAGGUCAUCUCAGCAAAAUUUCAUCCCUUUUAAUAAUUAAGUUGAAACUCAUUGUUUUUCCUUGUAUAUUUUCUUUUUCUGUCACAGCACUCAGAAAAAAGCCCCUCGAGUUACCACUUUUUCCAGAAACUACUGUGGAGUUUGCUGUUGUAAACUUUGACUCAGUGUCGGCUGAGAUGGAGGAAUAUGUCUAAGUGACCUCACUCUGAAGUGGAGCUACUAACUAUGCCAUCUAUUUUCAUAGUCAUGGAACUACUUAUCUAUUUGUACUUUAGACAUAUAAAGAGUUAAAAGGAUGAAAAGGGAUGGCCAUACAAUAGCUACCUUUUCUCCUAUUGUAUCUUAUUAACUGCCCAUGUAUAGUCAUAGAAAUACUUAAUUUUAUCACUUACCUGAAUUGAACGGUGAAGAUGAAUGAGCGAGUAGAGUCAAG